rnacentral:tRNA from 1 species
GUGCCCAUAGCUCAAUGGUAGAGCGCUGCUCUGUGGCAGCAGUGAUGAGGGGUUCAACUCCCCCUGGGCACC